GCCCUUGUGGAUCGUGAUGAUCGCUCCUACUUCAUCCUCUGAAAGUCAUGGAUGUUAAUGUUCAAGGAGAGGCGGAGGUUCGAAUCCUCCCGAGGGCA